AAGCGGGAGCGGCACCGCCGAGGGGACGGGCUGGGGGAGGGGAGCCGACGAUGACCCUGCGCUUUCUGCACCGGCCCCCGCCUCGGGCCUGAGCGGCCCCGUGGAAAAAAAAAAAAAAAAAAAAAAAAAAAAGCCAUAAAUCCCGCCCCGCCCGGCAGGAAUUCCUCAGCAGCGUCACCCAGCAAUGCCCCUUUUGUCCGCCCGGGCCGGCCCCGCCACAGCCCUGCGCGAGGCUGGUGCUCGGCCGGAAACGGCCCCGGCCACGUUUUCUGCCCUGAAAAGUGUGCUGGAGCAGUCUCCCCGCUCCCUGCUGCCGCCGUGCCCGGCCCGCCGUGCUCCCUGCCUCGCUCGGGCUAAAUCCCGUCCUGCCCUUAAACAUUUCGCCUGUUCCAUGCAAGGGAGGAUAAAUGGAGGCUGCAGCCUCCCUUACUGACGAGGGACGCGCAAAUGGCUUUGUCAUGCAAAUGUGGCUCUAAGCCACUUUCAUAUAAAGCCACUUAAUGCCGAGCAGCCAGUGAUCCUCGCCCGCCCGUCAGGCAGUGCCUGCCCUGUCCUUGAAGGAACGGAAAUGGAGGCACUGGCACAGAGGCGUGCUCCCUGCCUCCAUGCUGAAACGGGAUGACCUCAGCACAGGGAGAAGCCUUCCUUCCCUCCCUCCCAUAACCGCCCCCCCCCCCCCAAAAAAAAAAAAAAGAAAAAAAAGAAAAGAAAAGCUCGCUCUCUUCCGUGAAACUAAACUAGUUUCCUGCCAACCCUUCCUUGCUGCUCCCAGAGUACGUCCCUUGUUCCUCUCCGUUCAAAUGCCCGCGGUAAUUACCUGCAUGGACUGUGUUUCUCCUGUGUCCUAAAACAUUUUAUUUCUUUUUAGCUUGUCGUCCUCGCUUGGCAUUAACUUUCGACAACAGCCAGCAGAGUGUGCUAUGAACGCUGAGAAAAGAACAUCCUGCUUCUGGGAAAUUUAUAUAUAUCUCUCCAUAUAUAUAUAUAUACAUAUAUAUAUGUAUACAUAUGUACAGAAAUGCAGAUGAAGACAUUUUAAGUGGUUCUAAUACUUGCAUGAGUGCGAGAUUGCUUUCCAGUCUUUGUAUAAAGUUGGAAAAGUGCCACAGUGGAGAUGUCCAAAUACGUUUCACCGUCAGAGAGAAGGAUCUAGAACACAAGGUAUUUAAUAGAUGAAAAUGCAAAUCGUAACCCCAGCGUACAGGAAGGAGCUUAUGCAAUUAUACAGUAUGAGCAUACGUUUCUCCAACCUCAUUACUCCCUUGUUUGGACUGACUUACUGACAGUGGAGUUCCAAACAGAGUAAUAAACCCAGUAGAAACAAGUGAAAUAAAAAAGAUAGAGGAAAAAUGUUUACUAGAUGUCUUGGAAAUGGAAAUGUUUGCUUGAAAAGCAAACACACGUAUGUUUGGAUUCCUUAUGCUAUUUUGGUGUCUCUUCUUCCUUGUUUUGUAGGAGCAGACAUUUAGGGAGGAGUGAACUGAGUUGUGCUUGUGGGGUAACAAAUAGUUCUGUAUCAUUCAUAAACCAAAACUGCCUUAAAGCAAAGCCAAGUUUGAGACCCUGUGUAAGGGUUUUAAGGGCAAAAGGACAUUAUUAUUAUUAUGCAACCAAACUGGAAUUAGGAUUAAAAGGAAAUCAGAAUGCAUAAACAAAAGCAAAUUCAGAGGCAAGGCGUUCAAAUAAAAUUGCCUGUGGGCCGCAACUAUCUAUGGAAGUGUUAAUUAUUAAGUAAAACUUAAUAAUGUUUUAGAAAUAUAUAUUAGGGUUGUUUGGCUUUUUCUCAUGGAGAGUCUGACAGGGCAAUCAAAGCAGAAUAUUCUCCCCAGCUCUGCUUCUGACAAGAAUGAAUCAAAUACAAUAUUCCUAAUUUUCAUGGCCAAGAGAAAGUAAUAAAAUUAAUAGUUUUAUAUUGGCAAGGAGCUACAAAUUAUCUCAUAUGCAUUGCUCUGGUCAUGCAAUAAUAUUUGUGCUUAAUAUUAAACACAUGUGGCUUAAUGUGUGGACAUGAGAUAAUAAUUAUAAUGGUAUCUGUGUUUUAAACAGUUUUUCAGCUUCUGUAUGCCAAGUAGUAUCAAGUAUUCCUUGGCUGCUGGUAGCCAUGUAUUAGAAGGUAGGCUGUCAUUAAUUGUCAAGCACAGAUGUGCAGUAUUUCAUUGCCACAGAGACCAUCAUCAGUGAAGAGUUGAGCGCAAGGAGGCAGCUGAGCAGUGCUUCACAAUUCAUCACUCCCAUGGAGGAAACAGUGAGUGGCAAGAUAAGAAUGUUUGCUGACUGUGCAAAACCUUUUAAAGUUAGCAGGGGGUGAGGGUCAUCUGUAAAGAAUUUUGGGUGAUUAGGCAGUAAAAAAGUAGAUUAAAUACAGAGUAGAUAAAUGCAAGGUGAUGUCAUAACUUUAUGUAAAAGGUAGAAAUACCUGAAUUAGUUGCUGCCACUCAAUAGUGAGGCUUAAUUGUGUAUGCCCUACAUGAACACCAACUUUAUGUUUGGAAAAGCAAGGCUCAUUUCAAGGAAAGGGACAGAGAACAAAACCAGGAACGCAUUUAUGGCACUCCAGAAAUCUGUGGUGAAUUUGCACCAUGAGUACUGUUCCCUGUUGCGUUUCCUGCUUCUUAGAAAGAAAAUGCUGGAACUAGAAAAGAAUAACAAGGAUGCUCGUCUGUCUGACUUUGUGUCCCUUGAAAGAGACAAUUGAGGUUUGGAGUUCUCACCAAAGAGUGAGGAUGCAUGAGGCCUGUCACAUCCUAUGUAACUUGUAGAGGAUGGAUGCCAGCUGACUUUCUGAGUACAAACCAUCAGAUUUGCCCAAGUCUAAAUAGGCAAGAGGAGAUGGUUCUUCGUUCAGUGCGUUUCUGAAUGGCGCGCUGAGUACAGGCUGUUUCUCUAGGGUGCAGGGAAGAUAGGCCAAGUAUUUGGAAGAGGGCUGUGUUGAGAGUUAAUGAAUGAACACCCCCUCACGCUCAGGAAAUUCCCUGAGCUGAAAGCAGUUGGUAGCUGUGGGAGUGUUGCAGAGAAGAUAUCAUAUAUUUGCCUUGCUUUUCCUCUUCCUUUGACGUUUGCCUGUGGCCUGUGGUGGAAACAGGAUGUUGGACUGAAUGGGUUCUUCAUCCGAGGCAGUACACCUCUUCCUCUGUAUUCAUGAGGAUCACACUGAGUCACAUGAUAGCAAAAAGCCUGUGCCAUGGGGUCUUUCCAACCAAAUUCACUGUUCAUCUGCACCAGGAAUUACUUACAGAGCAGCUGCUGGGCAUGUAUUUCUAUUUUGCCUCAUGAUUUUCUUUCUCUGUGUCCUCAAAAAUUUUAGUAGCAAUAUGCAUACAGCUGCAUUGCAGUUGCUUACCUACAACCAAACCAUCCUUUUGUCCUUCCUCAGCAGAAAAUACUUGUUCCAUGAGAAACAGACCUAAGUCUUACUCUUUUGAUGAGUUUGUCUUUUGAAGGAGCAGCUGUGGACGAAAAUCUCUUUACUCCUCUCCCCCCCUCUCCCACCUAUCCCUCAGCCUCUGUUUGAGGUUCAUGUGGUAGCAUCAAUUUUAGCCACAUUCGAAUUCAGUAGCCAGAAGCUGGCUGGCCAAUACACAUGGGCUGUUGGGCUGCUGCCUCUGAGCAUGACUAAGGUGUUGGAUUUUGUCCAGUGAUUUCAAAUGCUUUUUGAAGUGGAGAGAACAGUUCAAUUGCAUCCUUAGGAAUAUAGGGCAAAAAAUACCAUGCCCUUCGUGAUGUUGUUUCCAUCCUUUUUAGCUUGAUACACCUAUUUCUUAUGUUACCUUUAAUAAAUAAAUAGAGAAAUAUUGUUGGCUUCUUGGUGAAAAAGAAGCACAUGACCUGUGAAAAGCAAAGUGAACUUGUUAAAACCAGAUAGUGUACUUGCAUGGAUUUGUAUGUUUUCUUUCUGAAUUCAUCUAUGACAUAGCUCUUAGAUCAUUCCCUAGAUGAUACACAGGGAAUCAUCCUGUUGGACAGAAUGGGACAUGCAGAGUAAAUUAGAUUUGUCAUCUCUCUGAGAUUUUCUCCUUUGCUCACUACCUGUAGGAGAGGAUUUUCAUAGUAAUGUGGCCUGUCUUCACGCUCCAUUUAUUGUAGUCCAAUUGAUGUAUGCAAUCUUGGUUGAACAGAUAGGUAAUGGAGUAAACAUAUAACGUGUUGAAUGCCUAAGCAACACAUCUGAGAGAAACAGGUAGGCAAGAAUCAAAGUGCAAUGUUUAGAGACAAAAAUUGGCAUUGUUCUCUGACAGGACAUCUUUAUACAAGUUUAUUAUCAUUUUGUCAUUAGAGGAGAUGACAGAAUUUGAAAUUACAAUGUAAAUAUCUUUUAUUUGCUAGCAUUAUACAAGAUUUUUCUGUUUUAUUCCUGAAUAGGACUUUAAUAUGUUGGCUUUUAAUAUCAAUAGAAAAUGUUCAUUUCAUAUCUGUGAACAGGAGAGUGCUGAUGGCCACAUGAUGAAAAAAUGCUGUUUACUGUUUCAGAGAUUGCUACAAAGCUGACUGGACACUUUUGCUAUUGAUUGGCAAUCCAGAAAGAGAAAUCCUCUUCCAGUAUUUUAGCAGAAAAAGCCAUCUUUCUCUUUGAUGCUCAUAAAGAGUAGGAAACCGCAGUAAAACAACAAACAAGUUCUGUAACUGUGGUAUGGCAGCCUUUGCUGAUUUGAUAUCUUCAAUACAAAGGACAAAAAAUACUGUAGGAAAACAUAUAUUUUUACUGAAACUAUCCAAGACACUAGGAUAUUUUUCUUGCCCCACCAGUGGCUGGCAGAGGAGAUGUUAUAGAAAUGGGUUUGAGGACUGGUCUGAGCUGUCCUAAAUUUGAGCUAUUCAGGAUUUUGGGCCUUUUUCCCAAGUGUGCAAGGAAUAGUCACAUAUGAUGUAAAAGGGAUCUCUGUAUUGACAGAUUUAUUCUCCCUCCUAGUAUUUCUAUAUGGAUAGUUAUUUAAUCCAUGCAAGAACCUUUCCUGUAGCAACUUAGAAACGUCAAGAAACUUUGCUGAAUGCUUUAGCACAUUUUUGUUCUAUUAAGAGCAUCUUGGGCAUUUCUGAGACAGAAAAUAGGUACAUCAUGUACUAUAACAGUCUCAAAGACAUGAACUUUAGUUGUAUUGAUGGUGAAAGGCUGAGUGUUCUGGAGAGAAGUUCAAAAUUCAGGCCUUGCUGACGUAAUUAAGGAGGUGGGGAAUGUAAGUAUUUAAAAUUCUUGAAAUUUCCACCUUAUAUUGUGCAAUGUAUGACACCUUUUUUUUUCCUUUUUUCUUUUUUCUUUUCUUUUUUUUUUUCCCAAGCCAUUUUUACUGUUGCUCCAAGUCAGCCUGACUUGUUCCUGUGUGCAGAGUACCUGGAAUGGAAGACCAUAACACAGCUGACAAAUUCUGCUGUAGCAAGAAGAACAUGUCCCAGUUACCAGGGUUUAGGCAAGAUGUGUCUUUUCUGGUCCUUGCAAAUUUCUGCCAAACAUUUUGGUGUCAUUGUUCACAGGUUUGAUCAGAUCACUCUCUCCAGUUUGUUUUCCCAAUGUUAGCUGCAAACACAUGAUAAGUUCAUGUCAUGGUGCUGUCCAUAUGUGUUCCUAGGCCCCAGUCCUGCUUUUCAGGACAGACACCACCAGAAGCUGUGACCAUUUCAGCUCAUUGAAGCAUGAGAGGAGAAGGAUAACGUGGAAUUGAUCUUGGUGACUGUGCGUUCUAGGUUCACACCAAUCUACCUGUGAGAGAAAUAUGGAGCCAACACAUAGCUUAAGCCCUCUAGGAGUGCAGGACUGGUGGGAGGGGCUUCUGAGGGACUGUGCCAUCUUGAAUUUGAAUCUUGAACAUAAUCUGAAUGUAUCUUCUCAACAUGAUCAGAAAAUACUUUCUCAUCAGGGUCUUGCUGCCUGGAUUACUUCAGCAGGCUGAUUUUGUUGUCUUAGUUUUAAUUGGCUUUUUUCCUUCCUCAGUGUGAAAACUCGGCUUUGCCUUGCCAGAAAGAAGAGCAGUGACCAUAGCAAUUUAACACGUGAUGAUAACUGAUUUCUGUCUUGGUACAGGGAAGAAUGGAUUCCAAAGGUUUUAGUACCUCUGAUUAAAUUGGAACUGUUUAUGAGUGAAAGAAUAUAAAAAGAAUUCAUGAUGCCACUCGGACCUUUCUUACAGGUUUGGCAUAUGCUACUUUCCUGUGUUACUUCCACUUCAUCCAAGUGUUUCUGGCUAAGCUGUGCAAAUCAAACUUUUCUAGAAUUUGUUAUCUUUGUAGCAUAGGUACACUGAGCUUUGCCAUUUACUGUAACCCUCUUUUUUAUUUUCCUUGAAAGGCCAUGAUAUGCCUAGAGCAUUGGAAGUAAUUUGUGACGAAAAAUAAGAGAGGGGGAACGAAAGAGGUUCUUUCUCUUCCUGACUAGAUCUGAAAUCUAGUUAAGUUAUUUUGGAAUGUAGUUAAUGAUCUAGUGAUGUGACACUUCUGUUACCAGAGACUACACUUUCUUGAUUUUUGCUCAGUGAGGGUUUUCUUUACAGCACUGGUGGCAGUUUCCAGUUUUCAGCACCCUCUUUGAAUUUGGAGGCAAUGAAAUUCUUCACUGCUGAGUGGAAGCAUCCUCACCUGUCUAGGAAAGCAUCCUGUCUAGCACCUGACUAUUCCCUGACUGAAGACUUGACACACUCAGCUGCCAGCUACUGCAACUGAUGUACCACUGGAAUAGUCCCAUGCCGGGAGGAAUGUUACUUGCUCAUGAGUCUGCAGGUACUCCAGGUCUCUCUGUGGUAUGUCAGCCUGGUUAAACUCAACCAGCUUGGAUUUUCAUCUGUCAAGGUGUGGAUCUUCCGCAUGUACCAUUUUUUAACUUGUUUUACUGGUUUUGGGGUGCAUUUUUUCUUCUGAGUGUUGCACGUUUUCUUAGUUUAUGUUUGAGAUAUUUUUAUUAGUUUCAACUUUUUUUUUGGUCCUUCACUUUUCUGAGAAAGCAAGAAAAGCAGAGUUGAUGAAGUCUCAGCAACAUUUUACAGAUUCAUUAGCUUUUACCUUGGUGUCUACCAAAAUCUGAAAAUGCGUGUACAAAUCACCCCAGACAUCCAUGGUCUUGGACUGUUUGUCUGUGAUAGCCACCCCAUCUCUCCUCUGACCAAUGCAAUUUCUCAUGGUACAUUCAAAAGUAUUGGGAUGCGCAAUCCCAAUGCCUUCAUUUUCUGAGUGCAUGCCUCCUGGUGUCCAUAGAAAUGGUCUUCUUGGAAGAAAAUGGAACAUUUUAGUGCUGCUUAGCACAACCUCUGUUUCUUCUCUAAUACACUGAUAAUUUCAAUACUUUGCUUGUUUGUUUCAUCAUUCCGUUAAUGACUUAAUACUGUGAAACUUGCUUCCUUGCUCUUUCUUACUUUCCCCAAAGUGAUUGCUCAGAACUGCACACUGCAGUAAUCUCCUAUUACAACAUAAAAUUGUCUUAACUGAGGCAGAAUCCUGGUUGCGAAUUUCCUGAUAUGGUACAUGAGUUCUCUUGACUCAUGUGUUUAUGUGGCAAAUCCCAGAGGACUCACUCAGUAAAUAGUAUGCUGUCAUGGUAGCAGGUAGCAAGAACUUUGGUUACUAACUGAAUCAUGCAACAUAAUGAUUAAAUGAAGACCAGUAUGAUACUGAUAUUAUACAGCAAAUUCUUGAGGUGUAAUCCAUGUCUAGGGGGUGUGCUUGGAAAUUAUAUGCAGAUGAAGCAUGCUUGCUGGCUACUUGGGAUUCAAGAUACUCUUCCUAAUCUGCGUCCGUAAAGACUAUUUCCAUCUGUCCCUUACCUUUGACAGUUUCUUAUACCAUAGCUCUCAUAUAGUCUAACCAAAGCUAACUUGACUGGAGCUGCCAUAAUAUGCUCAAAUAUUCCCACCUAGUGCUUUCGUUCUGCCUGUGUUUUACGUUUAAUGACUAUCAGACAUUAAUUUCUUUAUUUGAGUAAAUUCCAUGCUUAGGCAUCUUGAGAAAAGUUAUGAUUAAAUGUAAAGUCUGCAUGGUUGCUUCGGAGAACUGCAGUAGUUCUGUAAAGAUCAAUUAAUCAUUACUCACUUUCACAGUAGCCACAUUGCUUCCUUCUCAACAGAUUGUCUUCAUGCAGCUGUACGUUAAUUCCAUCCUCUGUUAUAGUUUUUGCUAAGUCCUCCGGAAUGGAGACCAAACUUACUGCUCUAUCAUUUUUUGUAUCUUUUCUGAGGGUUUCCUUGCCAAUUUUGAAAAUCGCAAAUAAAGGAAUUACUGUGCUCUAA